GUAACAAGGUCUCCGUUGGUGAACCAGCGGAGGGAUCAUUGCUGGAACGCGCCCCGGCGCACCCAGAAACCCUUUGUGAACUUAUACCUUACUGUUGCCUCGGCGCAGGCCGGCCUCUUAGCUGAGGCCCCCCGGAGACGGGGAGCAGCCCGCCGGCGGCCAACCUAACUCUUGUUUUUACACUGUAUCUCUGAGCAAAAAACAUAAAUGAAUCAAAACUUUCAACAACGGAUCUCUUGGUUCUGGCAUCGAUGAAGAACGCAGCGAAAUGCGAUAAGUAAUGUGAAUUGCAGAAUUCAGUGAAUCAUCGAAUCUUUGAACGCACAUUGCGCCCUCUGGUAUUCCGGAGGGCAUGCCUGUUCGAGCGUCAUUUCAACCCUCAAGCCUGGCUUGGUGUUGGGGCACUGCUUCGAGAGAAGCAGGCCCUGAAAUCUAGUGGCGAGCUCGCUAGGACCCCGAGCGUAGUAGUUAUAUCUCGUUCUGGAAGGCCCUGGCGGUGCCCUGCCGUUAAACCCCCAACUUCUGAAAAUUUGACCUCGGAUCAGGUAGGAAUACCCGCUG
rnacentral:rRNA from 1 species